UGUUUGUGUGGGGUGUGGUGGGGGAGAAAAUAACACGAACCCAGUCAUCUCCUCAGCAAAAUUCCCAAUUCCGUUUCAUAUUUAUGCAAACCUAAAAAUGGAAUUCAAAGAAGAUGAAAUUCUCCGAAAACGGGGCAAAUCUACAGAAAUUCAGUCCAUUUGUAGUGAAGCUUCAGUCUUUUCGAUGCCUAAUCUUCCUGAAGAACUCAUCACAGAGAUCAUGUUAAGGCUUCCAGUGAAAUCCCUUUUACAAUUCCG
rnacentral:misc_RNA from 1 species